rnacentral:tRNA from 1 species
UCCAAUGUGGUGUAGUGGCUAACAUUGCUGUCUUUCACGUAAGGUGUGCACAGCAGCCCGGGGUUCGAUUCCCCGCAUUGGAA